UUCUACAAGUGGGUCACCCAGUUGCUGAUCCUUCCAGUAAAUUAAUUACAUAACUGAAAUCUUUAAUCAUCGUCAAUGGAGCAAAAGCUUAAUUUUCCUACGGUUGAGUUCCUUGCGUUCAGGAUUUUUUCAUAGGGGUGGGAGAAAUCAAUUCCUUUUUACUAAGGUGACUUUCUUAUACGGAUUCUCUACUUAACGCUUCAUAGUCUUAACGGCCUUUCAGGUGUAUCAAAUUUUGCUAAGGAAAGCGGGACGAGUAUAUAUAUUUUGCAAAAAAAAAACAAAAAAACAACCCAGUAACUACGUUAAGGUGAUUUAACUUUUUUUGAGAUGUGUCUUGUACGCCUGAUCCUCUUUUUAACAGGAGUUUUUUUAAUUGUGCAUUUUUGUAAUGUGUGACUUUUUUUUUAAAAUCCUGGUGGGAUGUUAGAACUUUGCCUUUGAAAUAGUUGCCUGAUCAAAUGGGAAGAAAAUGGCUUUGUGGGAUGGUAGUAUGUGAAGCAGGUAUAGGUAGGCCUGUGGUUAGCCAGGUCAGUAGAUCAGUUAAUUUGGCAGGAAAGAGGCCUGGUGAAAUAUAAGCAUUAUUUACUAAGUAAUCGUGCUUAGCAGGAGAACCUGACAUGAGGGUCUCAGGCCAUAGAAUCUUUAUUAGUCUUAAGUGAAAAUACCUCUUUGAAGUGAAUAUGGUGAUCAGAAAUGAAGGGAAGUUGUGAGGGAUUCAGCCUUGGGGACCUGUUGGCCUUUCAGGUGGUCUAAAUGAUCUCUUUUCCCCAUGGGAUGGUGCUGAUGAGGAUUUCUAAAACCAGGCUUCCCAGCCACACAACUUUUAAGACACGUGGACGUCAACAAUUCCCAAGCCAACUUCUGGAAGUUGACAUCUGCACACCUUAAAAGUUUCAUGGUUGGGAAACCCUGGGCUAAGAAGUUGUUUGGCUUAGCAACCUCUGAAGCCUCCACAAAUCCAAGUCCUUUUUCUGGGCACAAACUGGGCCUUCUCUGAUGUCGUCCAGAUGUGACGGCCCAACUCUCAAAACUUCCCAGACUGACCACCCGAUUGCAGUAGCUCUACCAGUGCCUUUGUGUGCCGUGCGGUGGUGAUGUGGAGAAGAGGAGAAAGGUUGGUUGGUUGGUUGAGGUGGGUGGAUGGAUGGAUGGAUGGCUGGCUGCUCCUUGGUCUUCAUCCUGGACAGGACAAAAGGGUCCUUUCCCCCCCACCCAAGGAGGAAUAGUUAGGGAGCUCCAGAAGAUAGUAUAGAGUUUCUCUCGAGAAGAUUUUAAAGCCCAUCGUAGACUUGAAAAACAAGAACCAACUGCUUCCAGACCACGAAUGGUCUCUUGGUCAACCUGGCUCUUGUCUUCUGCCAACUCGAUGGCGUUUGUGAACUUAAAAGUAGGGGUGAGCAGACCCCAUAUCUUGACUUUAUUUUUUUUUUUCAAAGCAGGUACUUUCCACAGUGAAGUUUUUGUAACUGUGCAAAAGAAGAGACGGUUAUUUUUGUACAUUUGUUUAAUAGCAAGGGGGCUGUUUGAACUGAAGGAGGGUGGUUGCUUGUAAUUAAACUGUGUAAAAAUAAUAAUAAUAAAAAAACCCCACAUCACUUUUGAUACCGUCAAGUAGAUUUUAGCUGCUGCGCGCCAGAAAGUGUACUGUGGGUAUGUUUUUACCGUGGGUGUGUAAUUUUCUUAGGCAUAUCAGCAAUCCUAAAGAUGUGUUUCACCCUGGCAGAAGGUCCGUCCUUUCAAUUCUGGUGCUUUUUGCAUGUCCUUCUUGUUAAAUUCUGGCUCUUUUCCAAAAAAAAAAAAAAAAGGUAUUUUAAAAGUUCAAAUAUGCUUGACUUUUUUUUUUUUUAAAGGAAAAGUGAACCAAACCAUCAGGAAAAUUGGAAUUCUCUGACCGGGACUGGAGAGAGAAAUCCCAUUUUUAUGCUUUUGGAAGAGACGAGAGGUGUGCAUCCUUGCCAACUUUUAAGACUAACAGACCAACUCCCAGAAUUCCACAGCCAGCAUGAGAGAAAUGGCUGCCUGGGGAAUUCUGGGAGUUGAAGUCCACUGAGUUUUGGUGUUCCUGAGCGAGGGUCUGCCUAAGCACAGCAGAACAGACAAGGAGAACCUCCUUCCACCUGCCAUAAUGAUGUAUGAAAUUGCAAAAUAGACGAGACUUAAUAAAAAAAGCAACCUCUGCCCUCUUC